GGGGCUGUGGCUCAGCGGUAGAGAGCGCACCUGGCACAUGAGUGGCCCUGGGUUCAGUCCUCAGCACCCCUA
rfam:Ictidomys tridecemlineatus contig107786, whole genome shotgun sequence.